AUACAGAGGGUGCGAGCGUUAAUCGGAAUUACAGGGCGUAAAGCGCGCGUAGGCGGUUUAUUAAGUCAGAUGUGAAAUCCCCGGGCUCAACCUGGGAACUGCAUCUGAUACUGGUAAGCUAGAGUUUUGGAGAGGGAAGUAGAAUUUCAGGUGUAGCGGUGAAAUGCAUAGAGAUCUGAAGGAAUACCAGUGGCGAAGGCGACUUCCUGGCCAAAAACUGACGCUGAGGUGCGAAAGCGUGGGUAGCAAACGGGAUUAGAAACCCCAGUAGUCC
rnacentral:rRNA from 1 species